AGGGGAGGGACGGCCCACAGGCCACCUGGGUACAUCUAACUGGGGUACAGGGGUGUGGUGGUACAAAGAACUAUGGGGAAAGAUUUCUUCCUUCUUCUCUUGUAUGGGGAAAGCUUAUUUUUAUGCUUCAACUUCAUAUGUUAGAGGCCUCCUUCCACACCAUCACUGCCCUUGGCUCUGGAGCCUCCACAGCUAGAGAAAAUAAGCUUAAUUGCAAUCAUCCAAUUGCUUCUGGUUGUUCUGGUAUCUCAUAGGUCAGGUGUGAUUCACGGGGCACUUCCAUCCCAUCCAUCCAUCCAUCCAUCCAUCCAUCCAUCCAUCCAUCCAUCCAUCCACUCCAUUCUUCUCUUUUAGCUUUAGUGAAUAGGAGCAGCAAGGUGUUUGCUCAGGAAAUGUUGCACUUCCUUUACCUAUGGAAUAAGGGGAGCUGGUCCUGCCAGGGCUGUGUGGCAGAUGCUGGAAGCCAGAGCUGUGCUUCAUCCCAUCCAGGCAUGGUCCAGCAAUGCAGGGAGUGUUGGUGCUGAGUGUGGCUGGAAGGCAUCUUCAGAACUGCAAAGUGCUGCCUGAGGUUGGAUGGUUGUGAAGCAGUGGGACUUACACCUACCUUCCACAGGUCAUGAGCUUCCAGGAGUUUUGCUAGCUCCUUUUGAGCUGAGGAACAUUUUGGGUGUAAUUGUGAUCUGACUGUGCCCCAGUGACAGAGAUUGCAUCAAGGUGUUUAAGUCGCUCAGCCAUGAAUGACUUUGCUUUCAACUAUGUGCCUCGUUUUUCAACAGGAUUUUUCUGAAUUUGUCUUGCUUCAGAGUUGAAGCAUUGAUCUCUUCUGGGAGAACCUUUCUAUCAUUCAAUAUAUUUGGUAGGGGAAGAAACUAGUGCUUUGUAAAUGUGGGCCUGUGCUAAUGUCACUUUUAUUUUUAACUCUUUUUUUCUGCAUAUGACAUUUAAUGCCAUCAAAAAUACCUUUACUUUUGCUGCUGCAAAUGUUUAGAAAGGAGUUACUGCAACUGUGGAGGUAGAGCUGCAACUCUUGUAGGUGUAGCCAUGUCUGAUAAAAGGUUAUUUUGACUGGGUGCCAUUAGGAAAUUAGUCCUGGCAGCACAAAUCUCACUGUGGGCUCCUCAUGGCUGCCAGAGACAGGAAGUUUGUGUUUGCAUGGCCAACCUUGCUGAACUUGCUGCUGGCACUUCACUGCUCGGGGGACCUGGACCUGCUGAAGCAGAGCAAGUGUGGGCUGUGGUCUCCUGUCACUGGGCUCUUCCUGCCACAGGACAGGACUUUUUGAGUUGAUCAGUGCACUGUCUUGGAGAAAGAGAGGAGAAAAACAUUGAAAUGAAAGGUGUUGAGCUUCUAAAAGAAAGCUGAAGUCACCAAGUAAAAUUCAAACGCUGCAACAUAGCAGAAUGCAUACUGGAUCACUCCAAAGGUCAAAAUAGUUUCUCUUUUCAUCUCCUUGACAAUUGUCAGUAGCAAUUGCCUGGAGAAAGAAUAUUAGACAAGUAUAAACAGACUGUGUAUUUCCCCCAGCAUGUCCUCCUUGCAGCCUGUGGCUGAGGAUGUUUCUGUGCCCAAGGCCAUGUCACUGAGUUUUUUUCAUACAAACACAUAUAAACUUCUGGAAUACUGGGGCACUGAGCUUCAAAGAUUAACUCUCUGUUCUUGGAAAGGGAAAGGAAAGAAAGAAAGGUCUUUUGUAAGAAGAGGAUAAAUUGAAAGACAUGUUGCUGUUCCUGUGCACCUGAGCCCUGAGGUGGCCUUUACUCCUUGCUCUACCCCUGCAGUGAAGCCAUCAGUUCUGUGUUUCCACAUAAAACCUGGACAGCUCCUAUCCCAUUUUAUUUCUAAGAAUCAGUAAGUGUCCAGGUGAAAAUUACAUAAAACUCACGAGUUUC